rnacentral:rRNA from 1 species
AUCGAACGCUGGCGGCAGGCCUAACACAUGCAAGUCGAACGAGUGGCGGACGGGUGAGUAAUGUCUGGGCAACUGCCUGAUGGAGGGGGAUCACUACUGGAAACGGUAGCUAAUACCGCCUACUAUCGGAUGUGCCCAGCUUGGAUUAGCUGGUAGGUGGGGUAACGGCUCACCUAGGCGACGAUCCCUAGCUGGUCUGAGAGGAUGACCAGCCACACUGGAACUGAGACACGGUCCAGACUCCUACGGGAGGCAGCAGUGGGGAAUAUUGCACAAUGGGCGAAAGCCUGAUGCAGCCAUGCCGCGUGUAUGAAGAAGGCCUUCGGGUUGUAAAGUACUUUCAGCGGGGAGGCGUUACCCGCAGAAGAAGCACCGGCUAACUCCGUGCCAGCAGCCGCGGUAAUAC